CAAUAGCGUAUAUUAAAGUUGUUGCAGUUAAAAAGCUCGUAGUUGAAUUUCUGUCAGGAGUGACCGGGCCUUUGGAUGAACUUCCAUUGUUUUUUGCUCUGUUUGUCAUCUCUAGACAUCCUGAAAUAUUUUUUAAAAAUAUUUCUCUUUUACUGUUAGCAAAAUAGAGUGUUCCAAGCAAAGCGUAGUUUUGAAUACAUUAGAAUGGAAUAAUAAGAUAGGACUUUGGUGCUAUUUUGUUGGUUUGCACACCAAGGUAAUGAUUAAUAGGGACAGUUGGGGGUAUUCGUAUUUAAUUGUCAGAGGUGAAAUUCUUGGACUUAUGAAAGACGAACUACUGCGAAAGCAUUUACCAAGGAUGUUUUCAUUAA
rnacentral:rRNA from 1 species